rfam:Arabidopsis lyrata subsp. lyrata unplaced genomic scaffold ARALYscaffold_7, whole genome shotgun sequence.
AUGGAAGUGAGGAUUAUUUCCCCAAAUGAUCGAAUCUGAACAAACUGAGCGAAUUGAUUUAUCUUUUAGAGAUAUUCAAGCCUAUUUUCUGAUCCAU